UACAAAUGGGGUUGCAUUGUUAAUCUUAAAUAGGUCGCGUGUUUAGGUCGUAUUUAGAGCUUCAGCAUAUAAUAACUAGGAAUCAUACUAGAUACAUGUUGAAAAUACUGGAGGAAUAUAGAAGAGUAGAGGAAUAUUAGAAGGAGAGAUUAUAUCCUUAGAUAUCUAAUGGAAUAACUAUGGCGAGGGCUUCACUCUAUAUAUAUCCUGACACUGAUACACUAUAGUGUAGGUAGCAAAAGGG
rnacentral:rRNA from 1 species